GCGGGUGUGGCGGAAUCGGCAGACGCGCUAGAUUCAGGUUCUAGUGGUGGCAACACCGUGGGGGUUCAAGUCCCUUCAUCCGCAUCA
rnacentral:tRNA from 1 species